GGAAUAUUGGGCAAUGGACGAAAGUCUGACCCAGCGACGCCGCGUGAGGGAAGAAGGUCUUCGGAUUGUAAACCUUAGUCAACAGGGACGAAGCAAGUGACGGUACCUGUGGAGGAAGCCACGGCUAACUACGUGCCAGCAGCCGCGGUAAUACGUAGGUGGCGAGCGUUAUCCGGAAUUACUGGGUGUAAAGGGUGUGUAGGCGGGAAGGCAAGUCGGAUGUGAAAAUUAUGGGCUCAACCCAUAAAGUGCGACCGAAACUGUCUUUCUUGAGGAUCGGAGAGGUAAUGAGAAUGCCCGGUGUAGCGGUGAAAUGCGCAGAGAUCGGGAGGAAUACCGGUGGCGAAGGCGAAUUACUGGACGAUAACUGACGCUGAGACACGAAAGCGUGGGGAGCAAACA
rnacentral:rRNA from 1 species